GAUGAACGCUAGCUACAGGCUUAACACAUGCAAGUCGAGGGGUAGCAGGGUAGCAAUACCGCUGACGACCGGCGCACGGGUGAGUAACACGUAUCCAACCUUCCCAUAACUCGGGGAUAGCCUUUCGAAAGAAAGAUUAAUACCCGAUAGUACUUAAGAAAGGCAUCUUUUUUAAGUUAAAGAUUUAUCGGUUAUGGAUGGGGAUGCGUUCCAUUAGAUAGUUGGUGAGGUAACGGCUCACCAAGUCUUCGAUGGAUACGGGUUCUGAGAGGAAGGUCCCCCACAUUGGUACUGAGACACGGACCAAACUCCUACGGGAGGCAGCAGUGAGGAAUAUUGGUCAAUGGGCGAGAGCCUGAACCAGCCAAGUAGCGUGAAGGAUGAAGGUCCUAUGGAUUGUAAACUUCUUUUAUAGUAGAAUAAAGUGAGCCACGUGUGGUUUUUUGUAUGUAUACUAUGAAUAAGGAUCGGCUAACUCCGUGCCAGCCGCCGCAGUAACAC
rnacentral:rRNA from 1 species